UAAACCUAAAUUAAUAUUAUAUUACAUAAUUUUCUCUUUCUUCUCUCUCUUUCAUCAUUUUUUCUUAACUUUUAUCAUGCAUUCAAAAACUAAUCCUUGCAGUACGUUGUGGCAUUUAUUCACUUCUUUUUUUUUUUUCUUUUUUUUUUCUUUUCCUUUUGAAGUAACCCUUCUUCUCCUUUCCCUUAUAUUUUCCAUCAACACAGUACCCAUUCUUCUUCCUUCUGCAUAAUACAUGGAAUUAGUACCCUUUUUUUUUUCCUUAUUUAUUAUUAAUACCUUAAUAACCCAACCCAGCAUCUUUAUUCUCACUCAUGUCCUCCUCUUACUCACCCAUAACCUACAACGUUAACUAUUCCCACUGUCAGUAUCCCUAUAUCCCCUUCCUUUUUUUUUUUUUAUAUACUACCACUCAAAACUCCUACUAUUACCAAUAUUCCAACCCCAAAGUUAUCUCCCUCAACUCAAUCCCCCUUCACCAUAGGACCCGAGACAUGCACUAUCCUACUCCCCCAUAAGUCUUCUUGGCAUAUUAAAAUCAAAACCCUUUUCUUCCCAAAUCAAACUUUAUUCUUUUCUUCAACUAAUCUAGCAAUCUCUAACUUCAUUCUAUUGUUUUUCUGCACUUUGUUUCGUCUUCUCUUUUCUCUCCUAUCAUGGACAAACACUCCUCUCACCCUCCUGCUCACUCCAUUUUUUGUCACUCUCGUUUAUUCACUGUAACUACUCCAGUCUGCCUAAUGUAGCACUGUGUCACUCAUAACUAAAGCGAAUAAAGGAUAUCACAGUCCUAUACGAAUCAAAUAAAACAAUUAGAAUAUCAACGAUGCACGACAUGCGCACCACACC
rnacentral:lncRNA from 1 species